rnacentral:other from 1 species
GAAUUCCUGCCCUGUUGGUGAUUAGCUGACAAUUUUGAUCCUACAAUUAGGUUCGUAAGGGAGUUCAUGUAAGGGUAUUUUAUUGACAGGCCUGGGCUUUAUAGCUUAUGUAGUCAGCAUAUCCUUCUGGGCACCCACAUUUAUAGUACUGGGAUCUAAUUUAGUCCUCUACACCGCAAGGGCGGGUUUUUA